rnacentral:tRNA from 1 species
GGAGAGGUGUCCGAGUUGGCCGAAGGAGCACGACUGGAAAUCGUGUAAGCCUCAAAAGGGCUUCGUGGGUUCGAAUCCCACCCUCUCCG